AAUCGGGGCAGGGUGAGUCGGCCCCUAAGGCGAGGCUGAAAAGCGUAGUCGAUGGGAAACGGGUUAAUAUUCCCGUACUUGGAUAAACUGCGAUGUGGGGACGGAGAAGGUUAGGUUAGCAGACUGUUGGAUGUCUGUUUAAGGUGGUAGGUGGAAGACUUAGGCAAAUCCGGGUCUUUAUAAACACUGAGAGCUGAUGACGAGGUCUUAAGGGACUGAAGUAACUGAUACCCUGCUUCCAGGAAAAGCCACUAAGCUUCAGGUUUAUCUAAACCGUACUGAAAACCGACACAGGUGGUCAGGUAGAGAAUACUCAGGCGCUUGAGAGAACUCGGGUGAAGGAACUAGGCAAAAUAGCACCGUAACUUCGGGAGAAGGUGCGCUUACAGUAAUUGUAGUCCCUUGCGGAUGAAGGUGAAGUAAGUCGAAGAUACCAGCUGGCUGCAACUGUUUAUUAAAAACACAGCACUCUGCAAACACGAAAGUGGACGUAUAGGGUGUGAUGCCUGCCCGGUGCUGGAAGGUUAAUUGAUGGUGUUAUCGAAAGAGAAGCUCCUGAUCGAAGCCCCAGUAAACGGCGGCCGUAACUAUAACGGUCCUAAGGUAGCGAAAUUCCUUGUCGGGUAAGUUCCGACCUGCACGAAUGGCAUAAUGAUGGCCAGGCUGUCUCCACCCGAGACUCAGUGAAAUUGAAAUCGCCGUGAAGAUGCGGUGUACCCGCGGCUAGACGGAAAGACCCCGUGAACCUUUACUAUAGCUUGACACUGAACAUUGAAUUUUGAUGUGUAGGAUAGGUGGGAGCCUUUGAAGCAGUGACGCCAGUCAUUGUGGAGGCGACCUUGAAAUACCACCCUUUAACGUUUGAUGUUCUAACGAAGUGCCUGAAACGGGUACUCGGACAGUGUCUGGUGGGUAGUUUGACUGGGGCGGUCUCCUCCCAAAGCGUAACGGAGGAGCACGAAGGUUUGCUAAUGACGGUCGGACAUCGUCAGGUUAGUGCAAUGGUAUAAGCAAGCUUAACUGCGAGACAGACAAGUCGAGCAGGUGCGAAAGCAGGUCAUAGUGAUCCGGUGGUUCUGAAUGGAAGGGCCAUCGCUCAACGGAUAAAAGGUACUCCGGGGAUAACAGGCUGAUACCGCCCAAGAGUUCAUAUCGACGGCGGUGUUUGGCACCUCGAUGUCGGCUCAUCACAUCCUGGGGCUGAAGUAGGUCCCAAGGGUAUGGCUGUUCGCCAUUUAAAGUGGUACGCGAGCUGGGUUUAGAACGUCGUGAGACAGUUCGGUCCCUAUCUGCCGUGGGCGUUGGAUGAUUGAUUGGGGCUGCUCCUAGUACGAGAGGACCGGAGUGGACGCAUCACUGGUGUUCCAGUUGUCUCGCCAGAGGCAUUGCUGGGUAGCUAAAUGCGGAAGAGAUAAGUGCUGAAAGCAUCUAAGCACGAAACUUGCCAAGAGAUGAGUCAUCCCUGACUUUAAGUCAGUAAGGGUUGUUGUAGACUACGACGUAGAUAGGUUGGGUGUGUAAGUGUAGUGAUACAUUGAGCUAACCAAUACUAAUUGCCCGAGAGGCUUAACUAU
rnacentral:rRNA from 1 species